rnacentral:rRNA from 1 species
UACGAAGGUGGCUAGCGUUGUUCGGAUUUACUGGGCGUAAAGCGCGCGUAGGCGGAUCGUUAAGUCAGGGGUGAAAUCCCGGGGCUCAACCCCGGAACUGCCUUUGAUACUGGCGAUCUCGAGUCCGGAAGAGGUGAGUGGAAUUCCGAGUGUAGAGGUGAAAUUCGCAGAUAUUCGGAGGAACACCAGUGGCGAAGGCGGCUCACUGGUCCGGUACUGACGCUGUGGCGCGAAAGCGUGGGGAGCAAACAGG